rnacentral:rRNA from 1 species
CUCUCGGCAACGGAUAUCUAGGCUCUCGCAUCGAUGAAGAACGUAGCGAAAUGCGAUACUUGGUGUGAAUUGCAGAAUCCCGCGAAUCAUCGAGUUUUUGAACGCAAGUUGCGCCCGAAGCCACUCGGCCGAGGGCACGUCUGCCUGGGUGUCACGCAUCGUUGUC